rnacentral:rRNA from 1 species
CCUACGGGAGGCAGCAGUGAGGAAUUUUGCGCAAUGGCCGCAAGGCUGACGCAGCAACGCCGCGUGGGUGAUGAAGGCCUUCGGGUCGUAAAGCCCUGUCAGGUGGGAAGAAAGGCCUGGAGAGGAAAGGNUUCAGGUUUGACGGUACCACCAGAGGAAGCACCGGCUAACUCCGUGCCAGCAGCCGCGGUAAUACGGAGGGUGCGAGCGUUAUUCGGAAUUACUGGGCGUAAAGCGCGUGUAGGCGGGGGGACAAGUCUGAUGUGAAAGCCCUGGGCUUAACCUGGGAAGCGCAUUGGAAACUGUUUUUCUUGAGUACUGGAGAGGAAGGGGGAAUUCCCGGUGUAGAGGUGAAAUUCGUAGAGAUCGGGAGGAAUACCAGUGGCGUAGGCGCCCUUCUGGACGGUAACUGACGCUGAGACGCGAAAGCGUGGGGAGCAAACAGGAUUAGAUACCCUGGUAG